rnacentral:lncRNA from 1 species
GAGAGAGAGAGAGAGAGAGAGAGAGAGAGAGAGAGAGAUAAAGGUAGGACCAAGAGCCAUAAAUGAUUGAAGUGAAAGGAGAAGAGUGUGGGGAUUAUAAUAUGAUAGAAUUGUACAAAAUACUUACCAUUUGAUUUUAUUAUUAAAUUAAAAAGAAAACAUAUUAAAUAAAAAUAGAAUAAAAUGAAAAUGUUUCACAUGCAUUGGGCUUAGAGGGCCCAGAUUCCCUUUCCCUUUCUGAUACCCAUGUCUCCAUUCCCUUCACUCUCUUCCAACAUGCAUUGGCCCCUUCUUUUGACCAUUCAUUCUUUCUAAUUUCCUCUCUCCCUCUCUCCCUCUCUCUUUUUUUAAUUUAUUUCUUUUUAUCCUAUUAAAUAAAUCUUUUUUUUAAAAUUAUAUUACCCCACUAUUCCAUCUCUACAACUCCACUUUUCCAUCCAAUCCUCAUCCAACUCACUUUUACUCGUUUUAGUAAAUGUUCAAAUCGAUUCCAAUCAGUCGAUUUUUUCCAUACUAACACUAACUGAAUCUCUCAUUAUCUUCGAUCAACCACUUUUAAUUCGGUCGGUUUUGAUUUUUGGGUCUAUCAUACUCACUCCUACUUAAACUUAAUGUCUAUCAAUCCAAAAAUUUAUGUUUUCUUUACAACAAUAAAACAAAUAUAAUAUGAUUUUAAGAGUGUCGCUCACCUAUGUAUGCAGUUGGUCAUUUUAAUAAUACGCACAAAAGAAAUUAAAAUAGUUGAUAAAAUAAGUUUCUUAUUUCACAAUUACAGUAAUUAGAUAGUUGAGUGAGGUAAGAUGUAAUUUAAGAGAUUUCAAUAGGACGACGACAACAACAAUACUAUUGAUUCUAUUUUUAUUUCAAAGAACAAUAGAGAUAUGGGCUUUUCUAACUAAUGUAAGAUUGUUAUUAUACUUAAACCAAUCAACAACAAAUUAUUAUUAUUGUCGUUGUUGUAACAAAGGAUGGGCUAAAGAGUAUCUGCUUGGGAUGAUCAUUCAUUUCAUGCCUUUCUUUACAACUCACUAAUUGUUGGUUAAACUAAAAUUGCUUAAACCAAUCUAUUGAUCACAUUCUUAUAAUUAAAUUGAUAUUUACAUUUUCAACAACCUCCAAAACUUCCAUUUCUACUUCAUAUAUUAUUUGUUAUACUAAUCUUUAAAUUUGCAAGCAGAUCAAAAGCUCCAUUACUAAAAUUGCUUCAACUAAUAUGACGGUUAUCUUAAAAUCAUUAAAAAACAAAAGUAUAUAUUUGAAAAACCUUCCUAACAUAAAAUGAACUAAAAAAAUUUACAAAAUAAACAAUCGUGGAAUAGAAUAUGUCCAAACCUUUUAACUAUUUACUUCUAUAAUAAUAAACACAUACAUAGCAUAAAUAAAUAAAAAUAAUAAAUGGAACAUUAAAAUUAUACCUUUUGUUUAUUUUUAAACUUCAACAUAUAGCCUAAUUUGAGAUGGUUGUGUUUUUAAAAUAAUUGCUUUAAAGUGUGUUUUUCUAGAUUAAUAAGUGAUAUAAAAAAAAAUUACUAAAUUACAUGGUGUGGAUUUAAAUAUAAUAUUUAAAAUAGAUAAAAAUGAUUUCUUACAAUAUUAUAUUUUUUUGAAGUAUAAGAGAUAAAAAAUGUUCGCAUUAAACUAAUUACUUUGCAAAAAUAGGUAUAGAAUUUAACAAAAAGAAUUUAUAAUAACAAGAACUAUUUUACAAUAUUUUCUAAAUUUUGCAAAAGCGCAUAAAUUUAAAAGCAGAUAACUUGAUAAUUUGAUAAUUUGAUGACCGUCUAAAAUCAAUAAUUAUUUGUUAUGUUUAUCAUAUUUGCAAUAUACAAAAAAGAGGUCAUAAACUGUUUUUAUCAUUUUAUGUUGUUAACUUAUCUACCUUUUUAUUAUAUUAUAAAAAAAAUCAAUGAAAAAACAAAAUAUCACUGUGUACACAAUAUAACACACUUAUUAAGAUGAGUAGAAUAUUUAUUUACUAAUUUUAAUAUUCUUUAAACCUUUUGUGUUUUUUAUAAUUUCUUCAUAAAUCCAUAUAACAUCAACAUUGGAUCAGUAUUUUCAUUCAUACAUUUUCGUAAAAGAAAACAUAGUCCUAAGAACAUAAAUAUAUAUUCUACAAAACGUGAACUUAAACGUAACACUAAAGAUUUUUAUAACAUUUCUUCGAAAGAAAAAUACAUUACACUUAACCCACAGAAAAGUUAUAACAGUAUAGUAAGCACUUGUGGAAGAAAUUUUUUGUCAAUCCUAAUUGGUUUGGAUAAUUUUCUUGUUCUAUUCUGUGUCGUUACAUUUAAUUCGUAAUUAAGAAGAAGAAGAAGAAGAAAACAAAAAAGAGGAAGUCUAAAAUUUCAUUCAUUUAAUUUAUUUCUAUAUUAUCCAUAAUACAAUGUUUUUUUUCCUACCAGUGUGUGGUUGAGCUGAAACUAAAAAUCUUCUCUCUAAUUGCGGCGGCUCUGAUCACCGUAUUGAUUGGAACCCACCGGGGUGAGAUGCACCACCUGAUUUCCGACGCCGAGAAAAUCUCUGGUCAAAUUAUGCCCUCCAAUUUCUUCCUUUGCUCCGCCCAUCAAUGGCUUCAUCGUCGAACGGCCAUCUGAUAAUCCCACAACGGCAGCGGUGGAGUUGAUCAUUCCAUAUCCCCUGCCGGUGGUCGCAGUGGGGGCAUUGAAGAGAAUUGGCGAUAUGGUGGGGGUUACGGUCGGCCCCAUUUGAGCGGCCUUUUGGAGAAGUGCGGUGGCAGACAUGUGGGGUGCGACGGUGUACGAAGAGGCCGUCGUUAACGCCUCCGACAAAAAAGGGUAUUGAUUUUCUGGGAAGAAUGUAGGGUUUUCAGAGAAGGUGUGGAUGGCGGGGGCAGCAGAGAAAAAGGAGUUAGGAUUUGGUGGAGGGUCAAGCCAGAGCGGGAGCUGCGGCGGGGAUGAUAUUGAAAGAGGACGAGGCUUGUGGUCAUCGUCAUGGUCGAAUAUAAUGUUAGGGAAAUGGUGGGCGAGGGGGCUUUGGUCGAUGACGGUAGUGGUAGUGGCAGUAGCAGUGGCAGUGGCCGAGGAGGGUGGGAAGUUUGGUUGUUGGAGAAGUAGUGAAGAAGAAGUAGGGGAAAAGUUGUUGUUGAUGAAGGUUGGAUGAUGAUUUAUUCUUGAGUUUUCUUCAGCUAGUGCAUCACAAAAUGCUCUGUGAGUAAUGAAGCUAUCUUUUCUGUGUACAAAAUACAAGUAAAAACACAAAGAUCAGUUAAUUCAUAGUAAAUCAAAUUUAUUGAAUAAGCAUUAUGAUUUCAUGCAUUUAAUUUGUACUUCAACUAGAGAAUAGAGAACUAUUGUUUGGGGCGGGUUAAAUUUGUCAUUUAAGUUGCUUUCUAGGUUAUUUUUAGGUUGAAUUUGGUCCCUACCUAGUUUUAGCUAACACAUUAAUUUCUGUAGAUAUGUGGUAGAAAAAAAAAUAUGACGAAUGCAAGUCGUUAUAUGUGAAAUUGACACUACAACACACACUACUUAGAUUAAAAAGAAAAACAGUGGACGACAAAUGAAUUUUUAGGUCAAGAGAAACCGUCCAGAGUUGUCUUUGGAAUUUUUGGUAAACAUAAAGAUGCCAUGUAAACAUACUUUCUUUUCAACACACAACUUUUAACUCAAUAUUUAUUAAGCUCAAACUCUCGGGUCAAAUUUAACUUUCACGAAUAUAUUGAAUGCAAUUUAUUGUCACAAUAUAUAUUUUUAUCCAAUAUAGAAACUAAAGUGAAAAUGAUUAUUCAUAAGAACAAUAAAAGAGAUAUGAACCUGGAAAAUAAUGUCCCACAGUCACAUUUGUAUUCCUUUGUCCCACAUAUCUUAGAAUGAGCCUUCCAAUCUGAUUGAACUGCAUACUUCUUAGAGCACUUCUCACACUUCCAUUUCUUCUCACCAUGCUUCCUACUAUAGUGCUUCUUGAUCCCAGUGAGGUCACCGAGCGCCCUCGCCGGGUCGUGGUGCACGCAGCUCUUCUCUGGGCACACGUACACCUUCUUCCUCACUUCCUUGUUCGUCCUUUGUCGAAGCUUCCACGGCAAGUUGUGCCCUCGUCGAUGAAGCUGCAAGUUCUGGUCUCUCUGAAAUCCCUUGCUGCAUAUCUCGCAAACGAAUCUAUUCUUCGCCAUUAGAGACUUCGGAGACAUCGCUAUUACUUCCGCAUCUGGAUCUGUUUAAUAUUUUUUUGGCUUCGUCAAUCAUACUUCUAAACUUACCAUUUCGUCAAUCUAAACAUAUCUUAAUUACGUCUACUAAAGGGAGUUAUUAUUGUUGAAUGAGCUUUACCUUAACACAAUUUUAUCAAAAUUAAACUAUAUAACCAAACAAUGAUUUUUAAGAUGUCGAUUUUAAAAUCAAGAAGUUUUUUUUUCUUAGCACAAGACUCUUAAAAGGACGAAGGAUUUCACUUAUACAAAACAUCUAGACAACUUUCACGACGUAAUUCGUUAUUAAUUAAUGACGGAUAAUCAAGGAAAUUAAUACGGUUCCUCUCCCGAACCCUCGAAACUCAAAUUCAACCAUGAAAAAAGAAAACCCCAUUUACCAAUAUCCUAACAUCAAAAUGAUAUUAAAACCAAAACCAAAAGCAAAAUCCUAAUUAUGAAAGAGAGAAAAGACCAAACAUAAAACAAAACAAAACAAAAACAAUAAGAGAGAGAGAGAGAGAGAGAAAGAGAGAGAGAGAGAGCGAUUGGUGUUGGAUUUAAUUGCCUGGUGUUCCUGGCAAAUUUCUCUUCUUCUUAAGAGGAACAAGAACUGGGUUGGAAUUAUGAUAUUGAUGUUGUUCUUCACCAAUCAAAUUGCUCAUUGUGGAAACAAAUUCAGACAUCAUAUAAU